rnacentral:snRNA from 1 species
GUACCUCCAUGAAGGUGGUUUUCCCAGAGUGAGACGUCUCCACUGCACCCUGGAUGUGCUGGCACCUGCGGUUGCCAUACCCUGUAAUUUGUGGUAGUGGGGGACUGCGUUCAUGCUCCCCCCUA